AUCGAGCCAAGAAAAAAAAGUCUCCGAACGUGCAUAAGCACCAUUUGCACGUAUGCGUGAGCCGCGCAGCAAGCUGCACACAUGUGGUGCCGGUGUAGCCGUCAGCCGUGCUUUAUUGGCGGACAAUGGCCUGUGGCUUGGUGCGUGUUGAGGGGAAAUGGGUGACGUGCUGGGCAAGUUAGAAAGGCGCGCCGAUAGGGCCCAUUUUCUCGCUAUUCUCAACAACGGUAUCCAGUUUGGCGUCUCCGCCUCACCUAGCUAUCGCCUGGACCGUCGGUAGCUAUGAAAGGUGGGGAGAAAGCUCCUCGUUUCAGAGUUGAGUAGACUUAAUGAACAUUAGCCAGAAUGUCGCCAAAAACCAAAAACACAACAAUCAGUUACGUUCAUGUUGUUCAACUGUCGAGGAUGAGCGCGAUGUUCUCGUGCAGCGCAGCUUUUGUUGUUGUUGCAACUGAACAUGCUCCAGCCGACACACACAUACAAAUACAUA
rnacentral:misc_RNA from 1 species